rnacentral:rRNA from 1 species
UACGAAGGGUGCAAACGUUGCUCGGAAUUAUUGGGCGUAAAGCGCACGUAGGCGGCUUAGCAAGUCGGAAGUGAAAUCCCACGGCUCAACCAUGGAAGUGCUUUCGAAACUGCUGAGCUUGAGUACGAAAGAGGAUCGCGGAAUUCCCGGUGUAGAGGUGAAAUUCGUAGAUAUCGGGAGGAACACCAGUGGCGAAGGCGGCGUCUGGGUCGAUACUGACGCUGAGGUGCGAAAGCGUGGGGAGCAACAGG